rnacentral:rRNA from 1 species
GACGAACGCUGGCGGCGUGCUUAACACGUGCAAGUCGAACGGAAAGGCCCUGCUUUUGUGGGGUGCUCGAGUGGCGAACGGGUGAGUAACACGUGAGUAACCUGCCCUUGACUUUGGGAUAACUUCAGGAAACUGGGACUAAUACCGGAUAGGAGCUCCUGCUGCAUGGUGGGGGUUGGAAAGUUUCGGCGGUUGGGGAUGGACUCGCGGCUUAUCAGCUUGUUGGUGGGGUAGUGGCUUACCAAGGCUUUGACGGGUAGCCGGCCUGAGAGGGUGACCGGCCACAUUGGGACUGAGAUACGGCCCAGACUCCUACGGGAGGCAGCAGUGGGGAAUAUUGCACAAUGGGCGAAAGCCUGAUGCAGCAACGCCGCGUGCGGGAUGACGGCCUUCGGGUUGUAAACCGCUUUCGCCUGUGACGAAGCGUGAGUGACGGUAAUGGGUAAAGAAGCACCGGCUAACUACGUGCCAGCAGCCGCGGUGAUACGUAGGGUGCGAGCGUUGUCCGGAUUUAUUGGGCGUAAAGGGCUCGUAGGUGGUUGAUCGCGUCGGAAGUGUAAUCUUGGGGCUUAACCCUGAGCGUGCUUUCGAUACGGGUUGACUUGAGGAAGGUAGGGGAGAAUGGAAUUCCUGGUGGAGCGGUGGAAUGCGCAGAUAUCAGGAGGAACACCAGUGGCGAAGGCGGUUCUCUGGGCCUUUCCUGACGCUGAGGAGCGAAAGCGUGGGGAGCGAACAGGCUUAGAUACCCUGGUAGUCCACGCUGUAAACGGUGGGUACUAGGUGUGGGGUCCAUUCCACGGGUUCCGUGCCGUAGCUAACGCUUUAAGUACCCCGCCUGGGGAGUACGGCCGCAAGGCUAAAACUCAAAGGAAUUGACGGGGCCCCGCACAAGCGGCGGAGCAUGCGGAUUAAUUCGAUGCAACGCGUAGAACCUUACCUGGGUUUGACAUGGAUCGGGAGUGCUCAGAGAUGGGUGUGCCUCUUUUGGGGUCGGUUCACAGGUGGUGCAUGGCUGUCGUCAGCUCGUGUCGUGAGAUGUUGGGUUAAGUCCCGCAACGAGCGCAACCCUUGUUCACUGUUGCCAGCACGUUAUGGUGGGGACUCAGUGGAGACCGCCGGGGUCAACUCGGAGGAAGGUGGGGAUGACGUCAAGUCAUCAUGCCCCUUAUGUCCAGGGCUUCACGCAUGCUACAAUGGCUGGUACAGAGAGUGGCGAGCCUGUGAGGGUGAGCGAAUCUCGGAAAGCCGGUCUCAGUUCGGAUUGGGGUCUGCAACUCGACCUCAUGAAGUCGGAGUCGCUAGUAAUCGCAGAUCAGCAACGCUGCGGUGAGUACGUUCCCGGG